rnacentral:rRNA from 1 species
UACGGAGGGGGCUAGCGUUGUUCGGAAUCACUGGGCGUAAAGCGUACGUAGGCGGAUUGCCGAGUUGGAGGUGAAAGCCCAGGGCUUAACCCUGGAACUGCCUUCAAAACUGGCGAUCUAGAGGAUGGUAGAGGUGAGUGGAAUUCCGAGUGUAGAGGUGAAAUUCGUAGAUAUUCGGAAGAACACCAGUGGCGAAGGCGGCUCACUGGACCAUUACUGACGCUGAGGUACGAAAGCGUGGGGAGCAAACAGG